rnacentral:rRNA from 1 species
AUGAAUGCUGGCGGCGUGUCUAAGGCAUGCAAGUCGAACGGUCGCAACCCGGUAGCAAUACUUGGAGGCGAUAGUGGCAAACGGGAGCGUAACACAUUGGUAACCUACCCCAGACUCGUGGAUAACGGUUGGAAACGACCGCUAAUACACGAUAUUGAUGAGGGGACGCAAGUCAUUCUCAUUGAAAGUUUUUCGGUCUGGGAGGGGCCUAUGGUCUAUCAGCUAGUUGGCGGGGUAACGGCCCACCAAGGCUAUGACAGAUACCAGGCGCGAGAGCGUGACCUGGCUCAUUGGAACUGAGACACUGUCCAAACACCUACGGGUGGCUGCAGUCGAGAAUAUUCCACAAUGCACGAAAGUGUGAUGGAGCGACGCCGCGUGUCAAAAGAAGGCCUUCGGGUCGUAAAUGACUUUUCUCAGGGACGAAUUUUGACGGUACCUGAGGAAUAAGGGGUUGCUAACUCUGU